GUUGGCGGCGUGCUUACACAUGCAAGNNNNNAACGAGAAAGGUUCCUUCGGGAGCCGAGUAAAGUGGCGCACGGGUGAGUAACGCGUAAGUAAUCUACCUUGGCAUCUGGAAUAACUACGGGAAGCUGUAGCUAAUACCGGAUACGUUUAUAGAGUUACGACUCUAUACAGAAAGAUGACCUCUUCUUGAAAGUUAUCGUGCUAAGAGGAGCUUGCGUACCAUUAGCUGGUUGGUAGGGUAAUGGCCUACCAAGGCAACGAUGGUUAGCGGGUCUGAGAGGAUGAUCCGCCACACUGGAACUGGAACACGGACCAGACUCCUACGGGAGGCAGCAGUGAAGAAUAUUGCGCAAUGGGGGAAACCCUGACGCAGCGACGCCGCGUGGAUGAUGAAGGCCUUAGGGUCGUAAAAUCCUGUCAGAUGGGAAGAAAUGUAUGAGGGAACAAUACCCCUUGUGCUUGACGGUACCAUCAAAGGAAGCACCGGCUAACUCCGUGCCAGCAGCCGCGGUAAUACGGAGGGUGCAAACGUUGUUCGGAAUUACUGGGCGUAAAGCGCGCGUAGGCGGUUUGUUAAGUCAGAUGUGAAAGCCCAAGGCUCAACCUUGGACGUGCAUCUGAAACUGGCAGACUUGAGUACUGGAGGGGGAUGGUGGAAUUCCCGGUGUAGAGGUG
rnacentral:rRNA from 1 species